GAAACAAGAGAGAGAUGGGGCAGAUGAGAGACGCAGACGGGAGAUGGUCAUCUUCUCCGACGACUGGUGUCAGCGAUAGGGCUUUCUUAGUAGCCAGCGACGGCGGUGGUUCCAAAGUGGUUGUUGUUGUUGUCAUCGGUGGUCAGCAAAGGGUGAGAUCUGUCUUCCAUCGACUAGGGUUCCGCCAUGAAUCACUGGCGGCAACGAACAUUGAUUAUUGACAUAGUCCAGUCGAUAUCAACUUCAUGCUCUGUGACUCUGAGUUUCCAAUUGAAGGAACAAAAUGGCACUUUAGUUCCAAGAAGCUUGAAGAGAUAUUAGCAAAACUGAUUCACUGGUGGUGAGAAUUCGAAGUCUAAUCAUCUAAACAAGAUCCAUUCCUGCAGUAGCUAGUGAAGUUAUUGGCAAACUACCAAAGGAAAAAAUGGUGGAUGGAGAUCAACUGAAACUGGACAUAUAAUUGUUACUACAGUUGGAGGUAGAAAUGGUCCCGAAGACGGUAUUCUACAAUCUCUUUUAAAGGAACCACUAAGUUUGUUGAUGAAUCUACUUUGGAAAUCAGUGGAAGCAUAAUGAAGUUACUUUGGAUUACUUUUCCUUUGGAAUAAGAUAUCUUCUACAGUUGGACUUGAUCUUAUUGAAAUCAG